GACGAACGCUGGCGGCAGGCUUAACACAUGCAAGUCGAGCGCCCCGCAAGGGGAGCGGCAGACGGGUGAGUAACGCGUGGGAACGUGCCUUUCGGUUCGGAACAACUGAGGGAAACUUCAGCUAAAACCGGAUACGCCCUUCGGGGGAAAGUUUACGCCGAAAGAUCGGCCCGCGUCAGAUUAGGUAGUUGGUGGGGUAAUGGCCUACCAAGCCUACGAUCUGUAGCUGUUCUGAGAGGAAGAUCAGCCACACUGGGACUGAGACACGGCCCAGACUCCUACGGGAGGCAGCAGUGGGGAAUAUUGGACAAUGGGCGCAAGCCUGAUCCAGCCAUGCCGCGUGGAUGAAGAAGGCCCUAGGGUUGUAAAGUCCUUUCGGUGGUGACGAUAAUGACGGUAACCACAGAAGAAGCCCCGGCUAAUUUCGUGCCAGCAGCCGCGGUAAUACGAAAGGGGCUAGCGUUGUUCGGAAUUACUGGGCGUAAAGCGCACGUAGGCGGCCUUGUAAGAUGGGGGGUGAAAUCCCCGGGCUCAACCCGGGAACUGCCUUCAUGACUGCAAAGCUUGAGGAUGCGAGAGGUUAGCGGAAU
rnacentral:rRNA from 1 species